rnacentral:rRNA from 1 species
AGGACGAACGCUGGCGGCGUGCCUAACACAUGCAAGUCGAACGAGGUCCAACCGGUGGCAACACUGGUGAAGACCGAGUGGCGAACGGGUGAGUAACACGUGAGCAACCUGCCUCGAAGACUGGGAUAACCCCGGGAAACCGGAGCUAAUACCGGAUACCCCCACCGGGUCGCAUGGCCUGGUGAGGAAAUGGAUUCCGCUUUGAGAGGGGCUCGCGGCCUAUCAGCUUGAUGGUGGGGUAAUGGCCUACCAUGGCACCGACGGGUAGCUGGUCUGAGAGGACGAUCAGCCACACUGGGACUGAGACACGGCCCAGACUCCUACGGGAGGCAGCAGUGGGGAAUCUUGCGCAAUGGGCGAAAGCCUGACGCAGCAACGCCGCGUGUGGGACGAAGGCCUUCUGGGUUGUAAACCACUUUCAGCAGGGACGAUUGUGACGGUACCUGCAGAAGAACGCCCGGCCAACUACGUGCCAGCAGCCGCGGU